GAUGAACGCUGGCGGCGUGCCUAAUACAUGCAAGUCGAGCGAACAGACGAAGCUCUUGCUCCUCUUACGUUAGCGGCGGGCGGGUGAGUCCCACGUAGAUACCCGACCUAUAAGGCUGACAUAACUUCGGGAAACCGGAGCUCAUACAGGAUAACAUGUUGAACCGCAUGGUUCAACAGUGAACGAGGGUUUUGCUGUCCCUUAUAGGUGGAUCCGCGUCGCAUUAGCUAGUUUGUAAGGUAACGGCUUACCAAGGCUACGCUGCGUAGACGACCUGUGAGGGUGAAUCGGCAAACCGGAAAUGAGACACCGGCCAGACUCCUAAGGGAGGCAGGAGGAGGGAAAUUUCCGCAAUUGGCGAAAGGCUGACGGCGGAAAGGCGGGUGAGGGAAGAAAGGCUUCGGAUCGUAAAACUCUGUUAUGAUGGAAGAACAAAUGGGUAAGUAACAAUGCACGGCUUGACGGUACCUAAUCAGAAAGCCACCGCUAACUACGUU
rnacentral:rRNA from 1 species